UUUUUACAUGAAGGUUUUAUAGAGUAUAUGUAAAAGAUAUGUAGAGAAAUCAAUGUCAAAGGAUUGUGUUUUUGUGUGGUAUAGAAUUUGGAAUGAGUGAAGCUUUUUUUGGUAGUGUGAAGAGUGUGGUUUAUGAGUAGAAAAGUAUGGUUAUGGUGAGUGUUGACAGUGAUGAAAAGUGAGGUGAAUUUUAAUGGUGU
rnacentral:lncRNA from 1 species